AUAAGGUAAUCGCCGAGUUUCAUUCAUUGGAAGCGGGGGACCCAUUUUUGGGGUGAAUCCUGUGCAAGCAGGUAGGGCGAAUUUCUUUCUGCCCGAAUCCGUCAGCUAACCUCGUAGGCGUUGAAAGAGAAGGAUU
rnacentral:sRNA from 2 species